rnacentral:rRNA from 1 species
UGGUGGGUAGUUUGACUGGGGCGGUCUCCUCCCAAAGAGUAACGGAGGAGCACGAAGGUGGGCUAAUCACGGUUGGACAUCGUGAGGUUAGUGCAAUGGCAUAAGCCCGCUUGACUGCGAGAAUGACAAUUCGAGCAGGUGCGAAAGCAGGUCAUAGUGAUCCGGUGGUUCUGAAUGGAAGGGCCAUCGCUCAACGGAUAAAAGGUACUCCGGGGAUAACAGGCUGAUACCGCCCAAGAGUUCAUAUCGACGGCGGUGUUUGGCACCUCGAUGUCGGCUCAUCACAUCCUGGGGCUGAAGUCGGUCCCAAGGGUAUGGCUGUUCGCCAUUUAAAGUGGUACGCGAGCUGGGUUUAGAACGUCGUGAGACAGUUCGGUCCCUAUCUGCCGUGGGCGUUGGAAGAUUGAAGGGGGCUGCUCCUAGUACGAGAGGACCGGAGUGGACGAACCUCUGGUGUUCGGGUUGUGUCGCCAGACGCAUUGCCCGGUAGCUAAGUUCGGA